GUGGGGUGAUGGCCUACCAAGGCGACGACGGGUAGCCGGCCUGAGAGGGCGACCGGCCACACUGGGACUGAGACACGGCCCAGACUCCUACGGGAGGCAGCAGUGGGGAAUAUUGCGCAAUGGGCGGAAGCCUGGCGCAGCGACGCCGCGUGGGGGAUGACGGCCUUCGGGUUGUAAACCUCUUUCGGCCCCGACGAAGCGUGAGUGACGGUAGGGGUAGAAGUAGCACCGGCCAACUGCGUGCCAGCAGCCGCGGUAACACGUAGGGUGCGAGCGUUGUCCGGAAUUAUUGGGCGUAAAGAGCUCGUAGGCGGUGUGUCGCGUCGGCCGUGAAAACCUGCAGCUUAACUGUGGGCUUGCGGUCGAUACGGGCAUCACUGGAGUUCGGCAGGGGAGACUGGAAUUCCUGGUGUAGCGGUGAAAUGCGCAGAUAUCAGGAGGAACACCGGUGGCGAAGGCGGGUCUCUGG
rnacentral:rRNA from 1 species